CUCUUCACAAUUGAGAUCGUGAGGUCUUGUGGAUGCACUUGUUGGUCCGCUUCCUUUGAUUUCCUCUGUUCCCGAUUCCUCACUCUGAAUUCUGUGUAAAAUAAAAUUGUAUCAUGUGAAAUAAA